rnacentral:rRNA from 1 species
GGUACGACUCUUGGCAAUGGAUAUCUUGGCUCUCGCAUCGACGAAGAAUGUAGCGAAAUGCGAUACGUGGUGUGAAUUGCAGAAUCCUGUGAACCAUCGAGUCUUUGAAUGCAAGUUGCGCCCGUGGCCGUCCGGCUGAGGGCACGCCUGCCUGGGCAUCAUGC